rnacentral:rRNA from 1 species
GGGACGCAGUAGGCUAAGAGAUGCCAGUUAAUGGAUUCUGGUCUAAGCAGUGAGGUGUGAGAUGUGUCAAAUGCAUUUCUCUUUAACAUUGAGCUGUGAUGGGGAAGCAACUACGGUUGCGAACUCUCUGAUGUCACACUGCCAAGAAAAGCUUCUAGCGUAAAGUCAUAUCUACCCGUACCGCAAACCGACACAGGUAGUCGAGGCGAGUAGCCUCAGGUGAUCGAGAGAACUCUCGUUAAGGAACUCGGCAAAAUAGCCCCGUAACUUCGGGAGAAGGGGUGCUGGUGUAAUUGGAGA